rnacentral:lncRNA from 1 species
GGAUACUAUGAAGAGUUGUUAAAAGGAAGAGGGAAGGAGGAAGAACACAGAUGUAUGGUUUGGAACAUCGUUUUCUGGGAGUACAGAAAUGCUGAUGUCCAAAAACAGAAAAACUGGAAUCAAGCACACUAAAGAAAAAAAAGAGGAAAAGAUCAAGAAGAAGCUAAAUAGAAAAGUUCUCUGAGAGCAAACCAAAUCCAUGUGCUGUGUGAUGUUCUUGUACAUUAUUUAUGAUGCAAAAUAGGUGAGAUGAAUGAAACUCAUUUUACCUUCCUGGGCAUGUCUUUUCUGCCCACUUUAAAG